UACUGUACCCUCCCGGCAGCCUCCGGCAGAACACGCAGCAGCAGCAGCAGUUAGCGCUGAUGCAACUAUCGUUGCUGUUGCCACCGCCUCCCCACUGACGGGGCGUGCACCUGGGGGGUACUUGCAGUUUCCAGGGGCAACAAGCAUCUCUCUACCACCCUCUCCUGCGCCCCUGAGAGAGGCUGGCUCCAAGCUUGAUAUAGAAGACUAUCAUAUGAACCAGAAAGGGUAACUGAAACCAAAGAAAUGACUCCAGUAUCAAGCUAAAGACAUGCCUUAAAGGAUGAGGAGGAGCAGAAAUCUUACCAGCAAGGCAAGAAAGAAGCCGUACGUGAACAGCCUCUGCUUUAGGCCCAGAAGGAAAAGAAGCUUACAGGAGACAAUCAGUCUUACACUCUUCCAUGGUCACAAACAAGAGGUCCCUGGAUCUACAGGUCAUCUUGCCCCUGAAAUGGCCCUGGAAAGCUAUGGCUGAAGAAUGGAGGAAAAGAUGACUUUCUCUGUUUCUUCAGACCAGGCAUCAACUGGGAUGUUGGGAUGUUGAUAAAAGGACAUCUCAUCCUUUGUUUUCUGCCUAUGCUUUCACCAUACCCAUUCCCAUGUCUGGUCAUCACAGCAUCCUUCACAGCCCUUAGCUGAAUCAUGUUGAGUACAGGAUGGUGUGAAUAUCAUGGUUUGAAUGCAACCAUGGUCUGUCAGUGUGGCUUGUUUUUUGCAGCCCACUUAGACUUAAGCCCUCUUAAUUUCAAAAUUACGUUCAUAUGUGCCAAUAAAGUUGUCCCUACAUGAACUGAAAAA
rnacentral:lncRNA from 1 species